CCUAUCAGAGAAGCAGGGACUAUUUACCUCAUGAUGGCUGUUUCCCUGCAGUUCUGAAAAGCUGUCUCUGUAAUGUUGCCUUUUCUUAUUUAAAUUUUUUUUUCGUGGUAUCUAUACAGCAACCCUUGUAUCAGGAGCUGUAUUUCUAAAUAGUAUGGCUUCUUAUACAACCAAUAGAUAUUUAAUCUUUCUGGCUGGGCACUCAACUGGAACAACGUUUAGGGGGAAUAGUGUGUAAGGAAGUUCAAGGUAGAUGAAAAUUUACUAGAAGGAGGAUUGAACCUACAUAGUAACUAGAAUCCAUUAAUAAUCAGCAAAUAAAUUGGAUUUAUAAAAAAAAUUACUGUCAGGAAAAAUAUUUAAAAAACACAAUCAACUAACAUCUAUUGAGUGCAAGGCACUAUUCUAAGCACUUAACACAUAUUAUCUUAUCCAAAAUUUGAGAUGUCCCUAGACAAUAUUAAUUCUAUUUUACAGAAGAGAACUCUAACUCAAGAAGAAGUUAAAAAUCUUACACUAGUUUGCACAGCCAGCAAAUUGUAGAUUUUGCCUUGAAUGUGGGCAGCCUGACCCCUGAGUCUGCACUCCUAACUACAAUCCUGGACCUCCUAUUUUCCUCUUCCAAAGGAGAGUGGAUAAAGAUCAUAUGAAGGAUAUCUCCCAUGUAGUAUUGAGUAUUGGGGCACACAUUACAUGAACAGGAGGGUUGAAGAUAAUUUUAAAAUAGAUAAUUUGUGGGAGUAAACUUGAUGUUCAUAAACAAAGAUAUUUUAAGUUUCAUACUCAUAGCCACCCACAGCUUAUUCCCCAUUCCUUAACUCCCCUGAGUUCCACUUUCCAUUAUUCUCCACCCUGCCCUAUAAAGUGGGAGGUUUACAGCAGAGACUAUACUUGCCGGUUCCAGUGUCCUCCGGCUACUGGUUGGGUUUUGUUGACAGGCGGCACCUGCAGGAGAUUGAAAGGAUGGAGAAAGUGAUGGUAGAGUAAUUAUUUCUUUCUUUUUUUUUUUUUUAAGUUUCUUUUUUUUUUUUUAUUAUACUUUAAGUUUUAGGGUACAUGUGCACAUUGUGCAGGUUAGUUACAUAUGUAUACAUGUGCCAUGCUGGUGCGCUGCAC
rnacentral:lncRNA from 10 species